UACGAAGGGGGCGAGCGUUGUUCGGAUUUACUGGGCGUAAAGGGCGCGUAGGCGCUUGUCAGUCAGGCGUGAAAGCCCCGGGCUCAACCUGGGAACGGCGCUUGGGACGGCGAGGCUGGAGUACGGUGAGGGGCAGGAGGGAAUUUCCGGUGGAGCGGUGAAAUGCGUAGAGAUCGGAAAGAACACCAACGGCGAAAGCACUCUGCUGGGCCGACACUGACACUGAGAGACGAAAGCUAGGGGAGCGAAUGGG
rnacentral:rRNA from 1 species